CUCUCAGCUUUUCCUAUUCAUUACCUACUGAAGUCCUUUCUCCAUCGAGUUUACUGACUUCUGCAGGAAGGUGCUCUGCCUUGAGGACCAUGUUCUGAUGCCUCAUGGACCACCAGUGGUUUGCAGACCACAGGGAACCAGGGGGAAAGAGUGGGGAUGUGUGCUGGGACUAUGAUGAAGUCUGGCACUUCUG